rnacentral:rRNA from 1 species
UACGUAGGGUGCAAGCGUUAAUCGGAAUUACUGGGCGUAAAGCGUGCGCAGGCGGCUUUGCAAGACAGAUGUGAAAUCCCCGGGCUCAACCUGGGAACUGCAUUUGUGACUGCAAGGCUAGAGUACGGUAGAGGGGGAUGGAAUUCCGCGUGUAGCAGUGAAAUGCGUAGAUAUGCGGAGGAACACCGAUGGCGAAGGCAAUCCCCUGGACCUGUACUGACGCUCAUGCACGAAAGCGUGGGGAGCAAACGGG